AUUGAACGCUGGCGGCAUGCUUUACACAUGCAAGUCGAACGGUAGGGUAGCAAUACCUGAGAGUGGCGAACGGGUGAGUAAUGCAUCGGAACAUGCCUAUUAGUGGGGGAUAGCCCGGCGAAAGCCGGAUUAAUACCGCAUACGAUCUAAGGAUGAAAGCAGGGGACCGCAAGGCCUUGCGCUAAUGGAGUGGCCGAUGUCAGAUUAGCUAGUUGGUGGGGUAAAGGCUCACCAAGGCGACGAUCUGUAGCUGGUUUGAGAGAACGACCAGCCACACUGGGACUGAGACACGGCCCAGACUCCUACGGGAGGCAGCAGUGGGGAAUUUUGGACAAUGGGCGCAAGCCUGAUCCAGCAAUGCCGCGUGCAGGAUGAAGGCCUUCGGGUUGUAACUGCUUUGUACGGUAACGAAACGGACCUUGGCUAAUACCUGGGCGUAAUG
rnacentral:rRNA from 1 species